UACGUAGGGUGCAAGCGUUGUCCGGAAUUAUUGGGCGUAAAGAGCUCGUAGGCGGUCUGUCGCGUCGGCUGUGAAAACCCGGAGCUCAACUCCGGGCCUGCAGUCGAUACGGGCAGACUGGAGUUCGGCAGGGGAGACUGGAAUUCCUGGUGUAGCGGUGAAAUGCGCAGAUAUCAGGAGGAACACCGGUGGCGAAGGCGGGUCUCUGGGCAGUAACUGACGCUGAGGAGCGAAAGCGUGGGGAGCGAACAGG
rnacentral:rRNA from 1 species